ensembl:snoRNA
GAUGCCGGGUUUGCCGGCACCACGGGUGCGGCCGCCCCGCUGUGCCCGCGCCGUUGGGGCAGAGAGGAAGCGGCUGUUUCUACGCUCAGUGCUCAGAACCGUGGGCACUAAGAAUGGUUUGUAGCCGAACAUCA